GAACACCGGUUCCCGUACGAUCACCGAAGUUGAGCAACGUCAAGCCUGGUCAGUAACUAGAUGGGUGGCCGUUUGGGAAUACCAGGUGAUGUAA
rnacentral:rRNA from 1 species